CCUGACCAGAGAAAUGAGAAGAGGCUUUCUGGGAGCGCUGGCAAAAGUGCAGAUCCCCUGGAGGCCGGGGGAGGGGUGGUGGUGGUCGUGAGACAGGUAAAGAUGGCAAGGCCCCUUGCAGAAGAGGCAUCGCCCGCGAGGGCAGAGAGGAAACCCGGGAACCGAACGGUGAAGUGAAUGCGAGCCGCGGCCCAGAGACAGUCUGGGCUUGAGUGCGGGGGCUUUGAGUGCACGUAAAAAAUUUGGAUUGUUUGAAUCAGAGGCCACAAACCCAAGGAGCUAUACAAGCCCAGAAGGCAGAAUAAAUGAGGUCACAUAUCAUCUAAGGUACAGAGAUGGACCUUCAACCCCCGAGCCCUGUACGUCAUAACUAAACCAGAGUUUGGUCCACAGUGCUAACUCCCUGACCCGAAGAGGCAAGUUUCCAUUGGAUUUGAAAGACUGAAACCAUUCCUUGUUGCUUGGAGAGAUACAAUUGCAAAGUUUCAAGGUGAGAAGCGUAGAGUAAACAUGACAUUUUUCAUCUUCCUGCUCGGACAAGUUACUAGGAUUCAAAAUUCAGUUCUUCAGAGAAGAAUGAGUAGUUUGAUAGUAAGAACUGGGAGAAGCAUUUUCUAAGAAAUAAAACUCUUUUUACUGCCACUCUGUGUAGUAAAACCUACAGUAGGUUAUAGGCUAAGAAGGAUUCAGAUACC